GGAAAAACACAUUUGGAUGAAAAUACUUCCUCAUAAAUACAUCAGCUUUCAAAAGGAUCAAGGCUGCUGAUCAUCUCUAGAUUUCUGUUCAGUAAUUAUCUUGCAUUCAUAGCUGAAAGGAGCUCUAAAGCUUAAAAGAAAAGCUGCAGAAGAAAAUGCAAAAUGGAAUCAAUUCAUCAGAAGCAGGUUCAUCAAAAUUCAUUAACAUCAGAAGCUGCCAAGCAAAGACAAGCAGGAACCUAAGAGGUUCUCCCCCUGCACAAUAGAGACUCUCCUAUAACCAAUUUCUCCAUGCAAAUAAUAGUAGGAUGAAAGAAAUUCUAUUUGCGGUUGAUGUACAAUGGGAAAUAGAAUAAAAAUGCUCUUUACUA